rnacentral:sRNA from 2 species
CGCCCCGUCUUUGGGGAGUAGCCUUCCUUCCGCAAUGGAAAGAGAACGCGUCAACAUCCUCGGCUUCGCUGCCGUGGCGCGUUCGACCGGUCCAGUUUGGCGAGACCAUCGAUGCACCAGCCGUUCCUUGGUCGGACGGGGCGUGGCGCAUCGUGGUUCGCUGACGUCC